rnacentral:lncRNA from 1 species
GAGAUUGAUAUUUUGUCUAGUUCAACUUGGCCAGGAUUGACACCUAUUGGUGACUGGUGAACAUUAAGUUUGAGAGAAGAGUUACCUACUCAAGUUCAUAUAUAGGAUUUAUAGGAAAACGUUAUAGCUCUUUGUCAAUGUUAUCAAUCUUAUAAAUACCUAUCAUUUCAUCCUAUAUGAAAGGUAGGUAGCUGCUAGUUUGUGCAAGUAAACAUCUAUUUCUUUGAUCACCCUUGAGACUAUGACAAAGUUCUAUGAUGUAAUACAAUACAUGUAUAUUGAGACUUGUAAAAUUGUACUUCAGUUUAUUCCAUAGUAGCUGAAACCUCUGCAGUUUUACAAGAA